rnacentral:lncRNA from 1 species
GAUCAUGUAUAGUACAUGAUCGAUGACUGACGCUUUUUCUCUCAUUCAAGCAUUGAAGAUGGCACAACUAGUCUUGUGCCUCUCAAUAUCGUCAGGUGUGCCAAGGGACUCAUUCAAUAUUUCUAACAUGUCUUGUGGCUGAGCAUUCUCAAAAUAACGGUUGAACUCAUCAUUCAUUGCCGCCAGCAUAAUACAACGAACCGUAGUUCGGUCAUUGAGCCACUUCUAUAAGUAUC